UGUUUUUCACUUGUCCACUCAGCAAACUUAGUGCCUGCUUGCUAUCAUUCUACUGAUUCUGACCCCCAAAGACUCAAGGGGCCCAGGCAGGCUGGCGGGCACUUUUUGCCUGUUAGUCUUUGUUAAGUGUGGAGAUUUGGAACUGAGUUGACUGAGUUCAAGCUCACGUCUGGAAUCAGCGGCUCUAAAGGGACUGAAUCUAUGUGCAGCCUUUGUCCCCAGCUAUCCCAGGAGAAUGCAGCCUUUGUCCCCAGCUAUCCCAGGAGAAAGGUUCUUCACGCCUCAGGACAUUCACUGCCAUCUUGCCAACAAGUGUGCUUGUUUGUCAAGCACUUUCUGAGCACCCUGUGUGUGCCAGGCUCAGGGCCAGGUACUGUCCCAGGGCUGGGCAAGUCUGUUCAUUCUCUGCCAUGGAGAGAGUGCAGGUUCAUCUGAUCUUCCUGUGUAGUCAUGCUUCGAGUGGGCUCUGUGGUUUGAUCUUUAGUUAGAAAGGAAAAGAGUCUCAUUUCUCAGAAGGAAGUUGUGCAGCCACGGAAUUGUGCAAGGUGCCAGGUGCCUCCCAGAAAGGCUGGGCCAGUGUGCAGUGGAUGUGUUAGCAUCUUGGGACAGGUGAAACCUUAAGCAGGGUAAAAUAUCUGAAUUUGUUGUUACAGAACAGGUGGGGGUUCAUGUCCUUUGGCACUAAGGUAAUGCAGGAAAGGGUAACUGCUUUUCCAAGAGGCCUCAAGCAUGUAAAGCAAUCCACUUGUUUCUUUGGUCAGACACUUAGUGGUAACUAUUGAUGUUAAUGAAGAAACUAUUGGUGUUAAUGAGUAGUAUUUGCCAUCAUUGGAGAUGUAGAGAAACUGUUGUCAUUUGUGACAGCUCUCCCGAGAGCAACACUGUGUGAGCUUCUGUGGCUCGUUUUGUCUUGUAUAGUGGCUGAAUUAGAGUACCUGGCAUCUUUAUUGAAGUCUUUGUGCCCCCAGAAUGGUAUUCCUUGCUGCAUUGGCUGUUGGACCAGAAGCCUACAGAUACCCUGCCUCUGGUUUGGUCAUUGCUGGACUGGGUCUGAGGGCUCUCCCCGGCCCUGUCCACCUUCCUUGAGUGGGUCACACUGAUCGUGGAAAUAAAUGCAAGCAUAGUGCUCAUCAGGAAUUUAAGUCUAGACUAUAGUAUGAAGUUGUUAAGUCUGUGUAACCAGCUGUGUAUAAAUAUAGCUUGGCACAACAGCUGACAGCAAUUUCCUGUACCUGGGGAGAGUAGCAACUCAGAGGCCUGAGCCCCACCUAGAACUUCUGGUGUAUUGCCUGGCAGGGCUGUGAGGGGGCAGGGUUUGCUCUGCAGGUUCUAGGUCAGGGAUGGAAACCAUUUUUCUGCCAAGGGCCAUUUGUAUAUCUAUAAAAUAAAAAAUUAUCAGCUUAAAGAUUGGCCUGCUGUAU